GAUGAAGAACGAAGCGAAAUGCGAUAAGUAAUGUGAAUUGCAGAAUUCAGUGAAUCAUCGAAUCUUUGAACGCACAUUGCGCCCGUCAGUAUUCUGGCGGGCAUGCCUGUUCGAGCGUCAUUACGCCCCUCAAGUCCCCUGUGGACUUGGUGUUGGGGAUCGGCGAGGCUGGUUUUCCAGCACAGCCGUCCCUUAAAUUAAUUGGCGGUCUCGCCGUGGCCCUCCUCUGCGCAGUAGUAAAACACUCUCAACAGGAGCCCGGCGCGGUCCACUGCCGUAAAACCCCCCAACUUUUUAUAGUUGACCUCGAAUCAGGUAGGACUACCCGCUGAACUUAAGCAUAUCAAUAAGCGGAGGA
rnacentral:misc_RNA from 1 species